rnacentral:rRNA from 1 species
UACAGAGGUCUCAAGCGUUGUUCGGAUUCAUUGGGCGUAAAGGGUGUGUAGGUGGCGCCGUAAGUCAGGUGUGAAAUCUCGGGGCUUAACUCCGAAACUGCAUUUGAUACUGCGGUGCUUGAGGACUGGAGAGGAGACUGGAAUUCAUGGUGUAGCAGUGAAAUGCGUAGAGAUCAUGAGGAAGACCAGUGGCGAAGGCGGGUCUCUGGACAGUUCCUGACACUGAGGAGCGAAAGCGUGGGGAGCGAACAGG